rnacentral:rRNA from 1 species
CGGGGGGGGGGCAAGCGUUGUUCGGGAAUUACUGGGGCGUAAAGCGCGCGCAGGCGGCCCGGCAAGUCCUACGUGAAAUCCCACAGCUCAACUGUGGAACUGCGUGGGAUACUGCCAGGCUUGAGUCCGGGAGAGGAGAGUGGAAUUCCCAGUGUAGCGGUGAAAUGCGUAGAUAUUGGGAGGAACACCGGUGGCGAAGGCGGCUCUCUGGACCGGUACUGACGCUGAGGCGCGAAAGCUAGGGGAGCAAACGGGAUUAGAUACCCCGGUAGUCCUAGCUGUAAACUUUGAGCACUUGGUGUGGCGGGUAUCGACCCCUGCCGUGCCGAAGCUAACGCAUUAAGUGCUCCGCCUGGGGAGUACGGUCGCAAAGGCUG